UAGUCAAAGAUGUUUGAUUCAUUUUUCUAUCUGUUUGGUAUUGUUGUCGUCAAAAUUUGCAUUCCAGCGGCAGGCCUGAAUCUGUCCCUCGGCCAUGGUGCAGAAAUACAAUCAUAUGUUCUUCCACGCAUCUGAUCCAUCCUGUCAGUAGUCUUCCCGUAGCUUCCUCUACACAGCUUUAUCUGAAGCCCACUUGCCAUCAUUAUGGAUAUCUCCUUUAGAUUAAACAUAACGUCUAGCAAUAGUUUUCAG